UGGGGAAUUUUCCGCAAUGGGCGAAAGCCUGACGGAGCAAUACCGCGUGAGGGAGGAAGGCUCUUGGGUCGUAAACCUCUUUUCUCAGGGAAGAAAAAAAUGACGGUACCUGAGGAAUCAGCAUCGGCUAACUCCGUGCCAGCAGCCGCGGUAAUACGGAGGAUGCAAGCGUUAUCCGGAAUGAUUGGGCGUAAAGCGUCCGCAGGUGGCAGUGCAAGUCUGCUGUCAAAGGUCAAGGCUUAACUUUGAACAGGCAGUGGAAACUGCACAGCUAGAGUGCGGUGGGGGCAGAGGGAAUUCCCGGUGUAGCGGUGAAAUGCGUAGAGAUCGGGAAGAACACCAGUGGCGAAAGCGCUCUGCUAGGCCGCAACUGACACUCAGGGACGAAAGCUAGGGGAGC
rnacentral:rRNA from 1 species